CAGUAGCCGCGGAAUACGAAGGGGGCUAGCGUUGUUCGGAUUUACUGGGCGUAAAGCGCACGUAGGCGGAUCGAUCAGUCAGGGGUGAAAUCCUGGAGCUCAACUCCAGAACUGCCUUUGAUACUGUCGAUCUCGAGUCCGGAAGAGGUGAGUGGAACUCCUAGUGUAGAGGUGGAAUUCGUAGAUAUUAGGAAGAGCACCAGUGGCGAAGGCGGCUCACUGGUCCGGUACUGACGCUGAGGUGCGAAAGCGUGGGGAGCAAACAGGAUUAGAUACCCCUGUAGUCCCUGUCUCUUAUACC
rnacentral:rRNA from 1 species